ensembl:lncRNA
AUAGACUUCAACCAACAACAUGGAGGCGAGAAGACGGAUACAUGCAGCUUUAACUGUUGUGGUUAUUGUCCUUGUUACCAGCAGCUAUGGAAGGCAUGUCGCAAAGGCGCCCAUGCUGAAAAUGGACCAGGCUCUGUUAACGUUUCACAACCAGCUCUCAGAAGGAGUACAGGUGUUUUACACAUCUGACUACUGCUAUAAGUGUUUGUACCAGCACUUAGCCAGUGUGAAACCCAACAACAACAAUGCAUCGGCUGUAAUCAGCACUAGAUUCACACUGACACUUCAAGUGGAACGCCGAACCAGGAACGAGACCCUCUGCAGGUGGAGUCAAACGUAUGAGGAAGGCGGCCAUUACUCGGUGUGGAUCCAGAUUUCAGAGGCUGACUCCAAACCCAGCUGCACUCGCACUGUGGACAAAAGCCCAGACAACGCGUACCUGCCUCUUGUGGUGGCAGCCCUGCUUCUGGCCAUAAUGGCUCUCUUGUUCGUCGUCGUACCGUACAUCUACAGGUAUGUUUUUGAAAUCAGUCAUGAGAGAAAUUCUUCUCCGAUUACUCUUCCAUCAGAGCUCAGACGUGUUCCUUUUACAGGAGGCGUUGUACAUCCAAAUGUAUUAAGACCAUUUGCUGCCAAGCCCCAGAGUACUCAGUGGAUAAUGGCAGAGUAAACACUUCUGAAGCCAGCAAAGCUAAACCACCACGCCUGCUCUCCCUGGACACUUUCCGAGGGUAUGUACGCCAUCAACAACCAUCCUGUUUAUCGGUCUAUCACCACAUGCUCCUCGGUCACAUGUUAAUUCUGUUUAGAGGAGUC